GACGAACGCUGGCGGCGUGCUUAACACAUGCAAGUCGAACGGAAAGGCCCUGCUUUUGUGGGGUGCUCGAGUGGCGAACGGGUGAGUAACACGUGAGUAACCUGCCCUUGACUUUGGGAUAACUUCAGGAAACUGGGGCUCAUACCGGAUAGGAGCUCCUGCUGCAUGGUGGGGGUUGGAAAGUUUCGGCGGUUGGGGCUGGACUCGCGGCUUAUCAGCUUGUUGGUGGGGUAGUGUCUUACCACGGCUUUGACGGGUAGCCGGCCUGAGAGGGUGACCGGCCACAUUGGGACUGAGAUACGGCCCAGACUCCUACGGGAGGCAGCAGUGGGGAAUAUUGCACAAUGGGCGGAAGCCUGAUGCAGCAACGCCGCGUGCGGGAUGACGGCCUGCGGGUUGUAAACCGCUUUCGCCGGUGACGAAGCGUGAGUGACGGUAAUGGGUAAAGAAGCACCGGCUAACUACGUG
rnacentral:rRNA from 1 species